rnacentral:rRNA from 1 species
UGGAGUGAAAGUCCUGCUUCAAGGUGGGAAUUGCUUUGGAGACUGGUUGGCUUGAGUGCGGAAGAGGUAAGUGGAAUCCCAGUGUAGCGGUGAAAUGCGUAGAGAUUGGGAGGAACACCAGUGGCGAAGGCGACUUAUGGGCCGUAACUGACGCUGAGGCGCGAAAGCGUGGGGAGCGAACAGGAUUAGAUACCCUGUAGUCCACGCUGUAAACGAUGAAUGCUAGGUGUAGGGGGUAUCGACCCCUCCUGUGCCGGGUAAACACAAUAAGCAUUCCGCCUGGGGAGUACGGCCGCAAGGUUGAAACUCAAAGGAAUGACGGGGGCCCGCACAAGCAGCGGAGCAUGUUGUUUAAUUCGAUGCAACGCGAAGAACCUACCAGGUCUUGACAUCGAUCUAAACUCUAAGAGAUUAGAGGUCCCUUCGGGGGAGAGAAGCAGGUGGUGCAUGGUUGUCGUCAGCUCGUGUCGUGAGAUGUUGGGUUAAGUCCCGCAACGGCGCAACCCUUAUGAUCAGUUACUAACAGGUUAUGCUGAGGACUCUGAUAAGACUGCCGGGACAACUCGGAGGAAGGUGGGGACGACGUCAAAUCAUCAUGCCCCUUAUGACCUGGGCUAAAACGUGCUACAAUGGUGACUACAAAGAGGAGCGAGCCUGUGAGGGUAAGCGGAUCUCAAAAAGUCAUCCCAGUUCGGAUUGUGGGCUGCAACCCGCCCACAUGAAGUUGGAGUUGCUAGAAUCGCGAAUCAGAAUGUCGCGGUGAAUACGUUCCCGGGCCUUGCACACACCGCCCGUAA